AGCCCAUUCUUCUGAUCUUGUGUCACCUCACUUCAGCUAAUAGGCUCUAAUUUUCCUUUAUAAGUAAAAUUAUUCCAGCCUCAUGUUCUCUGCACCUUGCCCUACUUUAUUUGAUUUUAUUCCUUAUUUCACAGAUAUGAUUCCAUUUUCUUCUUUCAUUCAACAUUCACAUCAGAGAUAGGCUUCCAUUUUACUCUUCGUAAAGCAAAAUUGCUAGUAAUAUCUUUAGUAUAACUUUGUGCCCUGUUUAAACAUUGUAAACUUAAACCAGCUUAGAUGUAUCCUAGAGUUUUCCUAAUGACUUCCAUUUCCCCUGGUUGUGCUGUCUCAUUUGCUCCUGAAACAUAUUUCUACCUAUAUCUCUCUUCCUGACUUAAUCUAUGAUAUAAGAUUAGUCAUUAUCUCAUAUCUAAUUAUUUACUUUGUACAUUAAGUUUUACUGAAAUGUUAUGAAGGUUGAUAAAAAAGAAUAAAACAGCUUAAUAAUAAAAGUAACAUUAUUUUCAUCAUUAUAUUGAUUGAGUUCUUACUAUAUACUAGGUAUUCCUUCAGUAUAUAUAAAUUUUUUCCAUUUAAUCUCACUCUAUGGGGUCAGAAUUCCGAAUUCACAGAUAAGGAAAAUGAUGCACAGACAAGUUAACUAGCUUGCUCAAAAUCACAUAGCUAAUAAGUAAAUAAAACUAGAAUUCCAACAUAGGUCCUGUUGAUUCCAAAGCCGGUGCUUUGCCAUCUUGCCUUUUGAGAAGCUCAUCAAAAAUGUGCAGUUUUUGUAUUAUAAAGAGAUAAGCAUGGUUUCUAUCUCCAUUUUAAAAGUGUCACUAUUCAGAGAAAAAAAUUUAGUAUUAGUUCAUGUUCUUAUGAUGCCUUUCUUUUAAAAGAAACAGUGUAUGUGAAAGUGCUUUGUACAUUGUAAAGUCCUAGACAAAUGUAAGGUAUAAUUAUAAUAAUGGUAAUGAGUUUGAAGCACAUUUAUUAUAACCCUGUUAAUAGUUGUGGCAUUUUUAUCCCAAAUACAGGUAUGUCUUGCUCUGUGUGAUAAAAGGUUUCCUGAAAAAUCAGGAAAAAGAUCAGAGCUACAAAAUAAUCGACUAAUCACUUCAAAAGUGACAACAUCCCUCUUCAAAAAGAAAGGACAAAAACAAACACAUAUAAAAAGCGCCUGCCCCUGGCUCAGCGCCCGGUGCCAACAGAACACCUUUCAGGAUCCACAGCAACGCAGACAACGUAAGUACCAGCCGUUCCCUGAAACCCUUUUGCAGAUUUUUUUAAAACAACCACCUAAAACAUAGAGAGACAAGCCUCUUUCCCCUUCUUCUCCCCUGCGUUAUGCCACCAGGGUUUCCUCAGUAGCCCCUUCCAAAUCCCUCUGCCUUCAAGUUUGUGCAUGUCUGUGUGGCAUCCCUCCUCCUCCUUCACUCCCAUAGUGGAUCUUGUAAAAGGGCUUCAGAUCGGCCCCAUUCAUCUCCCUGGUGAUAGCAGUGAAUGUAGAUAAAUCUCUGGCUGCCUGCUUGCUGCUGGAGUAUGAUUUUUAUUUUGUCUUCUGUGUAUACCUGGAUCAAAAAGUGGGAUGUAUGCACACACAUACAUGCAUAUACACAUAUUUCCUUCUCUCUCCUCUGUCUUCCUCUCCUUUUCCUCACACAUGCAUACAUCCCACAUACGUGUGUAUAUGCAUAAACACACACACCUAUCAACAUACCCAUACCUAUAGCACAAAAAUAUAUACAUAUCUAAACGUUUGUCUGAAAAUAUGUGUAUUUAUAUACACAUACAACCUUACACAUGUGGCUAUAUGCAAUUGAUAGGUGCCUAUCUGUUAAUUUAUGCCCAUCUAUAUUAUAUCUCCAUUUAAAUAUUCCCUCUCUUCUCCCAGCAGAGGCUGUGUGCAAUUGCAAUCCAGGAUUGUACAAGCAGUAUUCUUUCCUUAUGAUUUCUAUUUGUAGACCUUUAUGCUCCCUUCUCUGCCUUCUUCUGAGCUGUAGAAUUGGCAUCUUUCCCUGAGGUUUUCCAAAUGGCAAGUGGCACCGGCUGUGGCAUGCAUUCAUGCCGCUUCCUAUGGCAUCUCUCUUCCGAUGUCUGCUUUUUCUCUUUGUUUGUUGUUGACUAGGCUGAAUGGUGUUUUUUUAAAGUUAAUUAUAAACGAGUUGAAUAGCAAACAAGCCAACAGCUUGCCCCCCCCCCAAAAAAAUAGCCCCACACAAGCGCCUUCUGCUGCAACAGAUGCCCAGAUCACCCCUGGCACGGGCAAACGGGCAAACGAUUUUGGUGGUUGUUAAUUUUUUCUGUUUGUUGCUGUAUUUGUUGUUUGUUUUCCUUGUCUCUUUUUGAUUUUUCAAGGAGUCCAGGAUCCCGGCCUCUGAUGGAACGGAACAGUGUCAUGGCGGAGACGACGGCCUUUGUCUUGCUGGGUGUGAAAACAUCCGCUGUGCUGGCUCCACUGCGGCAGAAUCAAGUUUAAAGGAAAAAAAGUGAUUAAAGUCAGCUCUGUGCCUCUUUGGUGUGGAAGACCCCCAAACCCCAAGUAGCCGAGUCCCAGGGUCCGAGGAAGGGCUCAUGGUUGGAGCAGCCUAGGCUGUAAUCCUGGCACUUGCGCCUUCGGUUGCUGCUUGCUGUUCGCUCCUGGGGGUCUGGAUAAUCUCCCUUGGCUUUACCGCACUGUCUGGCCCGCAUACAGGGCCCCGUAACAUAUACCCGCUGCUGCUAUCGCACGAAACUGUGGCGUUGCCCCUGAAUGGAUGGCACCGUGCCAACUCUUCUGCCAUCCGCCCUUGCAGCUUUUUUCUUUCCUCCCUCCCUCCCCUUCUUCUCCUCCUCCUCCCGUCGACUUGACGUUAAUUAACACACGGGUUAAUUGAUUUUAAAAGCCGAAGAAUUACAGUUAACUUUUCCCACAGGGUACAGACGCCAGCCGCUUGGCACACUCUGCCUUUCGCACUGGUGCAGGGGGGCAGGGAAAGCCCGCAGCAAAACUAGCAACUGCUGAGGGAACGUUGCCUGCUUAUUGGAGUAGAGCGGAUAGAAGUCGACGUGGCACUGCCUCAUCCUUUACAAUAUAUGUAGCCAUUACAUAUUUUUUUAAAUAAUCAAAAUACAACCCUUUCUUCUUCUCCUUUCCACUUUAAAAAUAGGAAAACCCUUCAGAAGUUUAUCUAGAAGGGGAAAAAAAAAUCCCUCCUCCAGACCAUUUAUCUCAUCCAUGAUGUGCUUUCUUCCAAUAAGAAAGUAACUGGUACCUUUUAAAAUUUUUAAUUUUUUUAUUUAUUUUUUUCAGUUUCAAAGAGGAAGACUAUCCCUUGCCUAAAUAUCACAGGCAUAGAUUUUUUUUCUUUAAAGAAAAAGUUCCAUAAAGUCUUUUUCUUAUUCCAGUGGUUUUGUUUUGUUUCCAUUUCUUUUGACACAGAUGGGUUAUUUAUGGUGAAGGAUUUCAUUGAGAAAGUAGGUAUAUUGUAAUUAAGAACAAGAUUCAUAUGAAAGCUCUUUGUUUGUUUGUAUGUGUGUGUAUCUUUGCUUUUUGUCCCUUUACCCCGUAAUCCUCUGUAGAAAAUGAAAGCAGUUGAUAUUGUAGUUGGGGAGGAGACAGGCAAGGCUGGGAACUUGAUGCUUUCACCUUUUCAUGCUUUCAUUUUAUUUCAUUUUGUUUUUUAAAAGCACACGGAGCAAGUGAAGCGACAAGAGGAAUCCAUUAUGCAAAUCAUGUCACUUUGCAUAAUGUCUCAUGACUGGAAUAUGCAAAUAAGCUGUAUAAUUUAUGAGUGCCAGUGUCUGUCUAAAAGUGUUCCACAUAAUUUACAAAGUGAGCAUGAGAGACAUGGGGAAGGCAGCUCUUCCAACUCCAUUGCCAGAAAAGCCCUGUAUAUUUCUACAAGUGCUCCCUCAUAAUGUCAUCAAGAGCUAUCUAAAAGAAAUUAAGGUUCCAAAUGUUCAUGAAAGAUAAAGAUUUCCCUCUCACUGCUUUCACCCAUUAAUUUUAUUUAUUAAUUCAUUCAUUUAUUUAUUGCCUAAAAGUUUGCAAGAAACUUAGACUCUAAAGCCUUCGUUUUUUGGAUUCAAUUUGGAAAAGCAAAGCUAUUUGAGCCAAACUUACAUUUGUGUAUGAGUUUUCUUUUCUAAAACAAGAAAUAUCUUAGAGAAAUAGAUUAUCUAUUUAUCUAUAUCUAUGAAGGCAGAAGAAUGGGAGUUCUCAUUUUGGUUGGUUUUGUGUGUUUCCUGCUCUGUGCAACAUUUUAUAAACUAUAUUCUAUAUUCUCUUGGAUAUAUUAGGUAUUGACAUAAAAGACUCAUGCAAUAAAUAUUCUUCUGAAGGUAUAAUUCUACUUUCAGAGUAGUCUUCAGAAGAGAAGUGAUAUUCAUUAAAAACCAGCUUUUAGUUAACUCUGUUUAAUUGGCCAUCCCAUUUCUCAUUUUGGUGACUUUUUUGAGUAGGUGAUUUUGAGUCUUUAGAAAAGUCAUGACAUCUGUGAUAAUCUGACUUAAUCUCUCCUUAUAUUUUAUUUUUCAUUAUAAUCAUGACUUCUGUGAAACGGAUGUAUAGGAUAUUAUGAAAAUAUACCACUGAUCCUUGACAAGGAGGACCUGAUUCUUGGAGGGCAUGUCAAAAAGGCUUCCUAAAGAAAGUAAAUUUAAUCUCUCCAAGUUGAAAAGAACUUAAACAAAACAAAGGAGCAAGUAUUUUCCACAUAGAGAAUAUGUUCAGUAAAUCCUGAUGCAGAAAAAGAACAUGGAUGUGUAGAAGAACUGAAGACUAGUGUGACUGGGGUAAAGAGAAUGGGUUAUUGGAUCGUACUGAGAACAGAUUGGGAGAUGUACAAAAGCUGAAAGAAUUCAUCAUUAGCAGACCUGCACUACAAGAAAUAUUAAAGGAAGCUCUUCAGAUGAACGGAAAAUUACACCACACCAGUCAAACAGCCUUAGAAAUGGUUCUCCUCUCUGUGCUUUCAAGGUUCUAUGGAGAAGGCAAAGAUUUUGAAGCCUUUUAAGAGAUGAUCACAGACAUUCACAAUGUCAUCUCCCUAAAGGAUUUGAAGGCUCUGCUAUCAACCAAAGGAAAAGCACUAGUGAGAGUCAGGAUACAAUUCCAGACAGGGGCCACUUCUUACUCAGAAUGUGUCAAGGUCAUGUGCCUAUGAUGUGUUCACAUCUGAGCCAGCAACCAUAAAAACAGAGAGACUGGAAGGAAGAACACAACAGUUUACUGGAACAGCGAGAUGCAAAAAUCCUGAGCCUUCAAAGCCAGCUCCUGCAGAAGAGAGAGGGCCUGGCAGCUGAGCUGGAUGCUUCAGGAGCAGAGGAUCUAUCAACUGCAGACCAAGCAUAGGGAGACGCAGGCAAACCUGGAACAGUAACCCACCCAGCUCCAGUCGCUCCGACAGUCCUCGGUGGCCAGAGAGUCAGCAGCAGGAAGCGUACUACGGGCCAUAAGGCAGGAAAUCGACUCUGACCCAAUCCUUGAGGUCUGAUGGAGAAAACCAAGACUCAGCUGGAGGAGGCCGAAAUGGAGAUAUGCACCUACUUUGAAGCCCAGACUUGAAGAGAGGCAUAGCUCUUACCAAGAGAAGGCCUACUUAGAAAGCAAAUAGCAGGAGUUUUGAAUACCGGAAAGUAGUUCCCUGGGCAAAUGCAGCAGAUGAAGCAUGAAGAAGUGAAGAUCUCAACAGAGAUGCAGGAAACAGAAUAGAAGAUGCAAUAACAAGGGUCUAAGAAGAGAGAAGACAUUGACGAAGUCCUGAGUCCAGAGAAUUAGUAACCAGUAAUCUGGUAGCAAGCCCCUCCCUUUGGGAUGAACCUCCUCCUCUACAAAAUACCUGUCCAGCCACACUCCUCAGAGAGCAUUGUGAAGGUCCAUGUGAUCAUUCCAUAAAGCAUUUGAGGCUCCCUCGAAGUACUCUUCCUUAUCCAUCUGGCAAACAUUACUGUCAAAUGCAUCAGAACUUUAUCAUAUAGUGAGCACUUCCAAAUUGCCUGCUGCUAUUAUUAAUGGCUCAGAGAAUUCCUAUGUCUCCUUCAUGGAACAAAAUUCAACUCUCUAUUUUUCUUCUGACUUAUUAUACUCAGCAAAGUCCAACGUAUUCUCAUACAAAUAUUAGAACCUAUGCCUUCCACUUUUCCUUCCAAAGGUUCUUGGCCCUUGCGAUGAUAGCUGUGUAACUCCUUAGUGGAUGAAACCAUCAUAAUCUAGAAAAUCGUUUUUCCGUCUUUUGGACAAGAUUUCAAGAUUUCAUGUGAUUUAAGAAUCAUCUCCUGAUCAUCCAGUGGGUCUGCUAGUAGAGAAAUAUUACCCUCAAGGAUACAUUAGUUUCAUGACAAAUUUGUGUGACGUUUGGGCUGAGUUCAUGGUUCCUACUAAAGAAAGAUGUCCGUCAUGGAAGAGCACUGAAUCAGUAAACGUUAGACCUAGAAAAGACCUUAAAGACAAUUCAGUACAACUUCCCUGUUUAUAGAGGCAGAAAUGAAGGCUCAGAGAGAUGAGGGCCUUUCCAAAGGCCACUCCUCAAAUUAGGUGCUAAACCAGGUUUAUAAGCUUGGUGGCCUAGAGCCUUGUUUAGUGUUCUUUUAUGCCACAGUAUUUUUAUUUUUUUCUUACCCAGGAUGCCACAAUAUUUUAAUCUUCUUGCUUGCCUAGUGUGGAAGUUGCUUGUGAUGUUCAUCAACCCAGACAUACCUUGUUUUAUUGUAUUUCACUUUAUUGUA